rnacentral:rRNA from 1 species
GACGAACGCUGGCGGCGUGCUUAACACAUGCAAGUCGAACGGUGAAGCUCCAGCUUGCUGGAGUGGAUCAGUGGCGAACGGGUGAGUAACACGUGAGCAACCUGCCCCUGACUCUGGAAUAAGCGCUGGAAACAGCGUCUAAUACUGGAUACGAGAAGGGUCCGCAUGGGCACUUUCUGGAAAGUUUUUCGGUUGGGGAUGGGCUCGCGGCCUAUCAGCUUGUUGGUGAGGUAAUGGCUCACCAAGGCGACGACGGGUAGCCGGCCUGAGAGGGCGACCGGCCACACUGGGACUGAGACACGGCCCAGACUCCUACGGGAGGCAGCAGUGGGGAAUAUUGCACAAUGGGCGAAAGCCUGAUGCAGCGACGCCGCGUGAGGGAUGACGGCCUUCGGGUUGUAAACCUCUUUCAGCAGGGAAGAAGCGAAAGUGACGGUACCUGCAGAAGAAGCACCGGCUAACUACGUG